GAAGCUGCUCAGGAGGAGCACGAAAAUGUGGCAGAUAAUGAGAACAAUGAAAGUUUACAGUCCCCUCCUGAUGUUGAUGGUUUAUUAGUCCGCCUGCCACACCAACCUCGAAGUCCAAUUAAGAUCAUAUGGCCAAAUGGAGAGGUUAGACAGAUUAUAGGGGAAUUCACACUUUCAAAUUUACUAGCAUUACAAGGAGGAAAGGUAAUUGUAGAGACAGAUGAAAAUGGUGUCCCAAAUGAAAGGUCAGCCUCCAUUCUUGGGCAGCACCUUGGCCAUGUAGCAGAAAGCCCAACCUUAGCCCCUUUAGACAUCCCAAGAUUUGACAAUAGCAGGUUUAAUUCACACAAGGAACAAAUAAUAAAGGAUGUUGAGCUAAAGUUUGCCUUCCCAAGGCAAACCAUACAUCUUACAAGGGACUGGAUCCUAAGGACAGUUAAUAAUAGGUGGCGAGCGUACA